CUGAAACACGCCCCGGGCGCACACCACGGUGCCCGGAACCGCGGGGCUCGGGGACCCGCGGGGGUCGGAGUCCGGGCCCACUACCUGGGCUGGCGGUGGACCUGGCUGACUCAUUUCGGUCCGGGGAGCUCACUUUGAGGGGAGUUGGAGUCCGCCUAGCCACUUAGGCCUGGACUCAGGGUUCUGCGGAAGUUACACCCCUGGUCAGACGUGGUAGCACUCCCAUCUUAUUCAAGAUCCUGUUUGAAAAUUACUGAGGCAGAAACUAGGAGUGAUUUCACAUCUCCCCAAGAGC
rnacentral:lncRNA from 1 species